GAUGAACGCUGGCGGCGUGCCUAAUACAUGCAAGUCGAGCGAACAGACGAGGAGCUUGCUCCUUUGACGUUAGCGGCGGACGGGUGAGUAACACGUGGGUAACCUACCUAUAAGACUGGGAUAACUUCGGGAAACCGGAGCUAAUACCGGAUAAUAUUUCGAACCGCAUGGUUCGAUAGGGAAAGAUGGAUCUGCUAUCACUUAUAGAUGGACCUGCGCCGUAUUAGCUAGUUGGUAAGGUAACGGCUUACCAAGGCAACGAUACGUAGCCGACCUGAGAGGGUGAUCGGCCACACUGGAACUGAGACACGGUCCAGACUCCUACGGGAGGCAGCAGUAGGGAAUCUUCCGCAAUGGGCGAAAGCCUGACGGAGCAACGCCGCGUGAGUGAUGAAGGUCUUCGGAUCGUAAAACUCUGUUAUUAGGGAAGAACAAACGUGUAAGUAACUGUGCACGUCUUGACGGUACCUAAUCAGAAAGCCACGGCUAACUACGUGCCAGCAGCCGCAGUAAAAC
rnacentral:rRNA from 1 species